rnacentral:rRNA from 1 species
UUGAUCUCCGAUCAGGUACGGAUACCCGCUGAACUU